rfam:Schistosoma haematobium scaffold303_16, whole genome shotgun sequence.
AUCCAAUUGACGAGUCUCAAACAGGAGGAAACGCGCCUCCUGGAU